UACGAAGGGUGCAAGCGUUACUCGGAAUUACUGGGCGUAAAGCGUGCGUAGGUGGUGAGUUAAGUCUGUCGUGAAAGCCCCGGGCUCAACCUGGGAAUGGCGAUGGAUACUGGCUCGCUAGAGUGCGGUAGAGGAGAGUGGAAUUCCCGGUGUAGCAGUGAAAUGCGUAGAGAUCGGGAGGAACAUCAGUUGCGAAGGCGGCUCUCUGGACCAGCACUGACGCUGAGGAGCGAAAGCGUGGGGAGCGAACAGG
rnacentral:rRNA from 1 species